GUGAACCGCCCUCGAGUGGAGCUUGCCUCGGUCUGUGAACCGCCCUCGAGUGGACCUUGCCUCGGUCUGUGAACCGCCCUCGAGUGGAGCUUGCCUCGGUCUGUGAACCGCCCUCGAGUGGACCUUGCCUCGGUCUGUGAACCGCCCUCGAGUGGACCUUGCCUCGGUCUGUGAACCGCCCUCAAGUGGAGCUCGCCUCCCGUGUCCGCGAGCUGCGCUGAUCUCGGAGCAGAUUUCCCCACCGAGGACCACUGGCACCGGAAAGCAGCAUCCCUCAUCGGGAACCCCGCCACCCAGGCCGUGUUCUCUUCUUGCUGCUGCCAUCGGGCAGGAGGUACAGGAGCCUCAGGACUCACACCCACAGGUUCAGGAACAGUUAUUACCCCUCAACCAUCAGGUAGAAGGUACAGGAGCCUCAGGACUCACACCCACAGGUUCAGGAACAGUUAUUACCCCUCAACCAUCAGGUAGAAGGUACAGGAGUCUCAGGUCCCACACCACCAGGUUCAGGAACAGUUACUACCCCUCAGCCAUCAGGUAGAAGGUACAGGAGCCUCAGGACACACACCACCAGGUUCAGGGACAGUUAUUACCCCUCAACCAUCAGGUCCCACACCACCAGGUUCAGGAACAGUUAUUACCCCUCAACCAUCAGGUAGAAGGUACAGGAGCCUCAGGACACACACCACCAGGUUCAGGGACAGUUAUUACCCCUCAACCAUCAGGUCCCACACCACCAGGUUCAGGAACAGUUAUUACCCCUCAACCAUCAGGUCCCACACCACCAGGUUCAGGAACAGUUAUUACCCCUCAACCAUCAGGCUCCUGAACCGAUGUGGGUAACUUCACUCGCAUCUACUGUGAACUGAUUCCAUGACCUAAAGACCCAAUUUCGAGUUCUUGUGUUAACUAUUUUAUUUGCAGUUUGCCAGCUUUAGGCAUAUUGAUAGAUUAAUCCUUCUUUGAUCAGUCAAAGUGAAUUUGUUAUUGGAGUACGUGUAGGUCACUUGACAAUACCCUGAGACCCAUCCAGUACAGCCAGUCUUGAAACAGAGGCUUGGACUGUGUGCAGGAGAGCUAUCUCAGCUUAUCUUUCCUGUUUGAUCUUUGGCCUCACAGUUUUUUUUAAUUAUAUUUUUAUUUAGCAUGGGAUUCGAGCGUCACUGGCAUUUAUUGCCCGUCUUUAAUUGCUGAUAGCUGAACUGGGAGUUUGCUAGGCCUUUGAGUGGCCAGACCUGCUAAUGUCCAUGGGCCAGACAGGGUCGUGAUGAACCAGAUGGGGUUUUAUGCCAGCCUUGUAGAUUUGCCCUCAUUCACCACAGGAACGCUGUCGUGGGAGAGCAGCAUUCUUCACCAAACCAUACUCUCUUGCUGCUGCCAUCAGGCAGGAGGUACAAGAGCUUUAAUCCCACACCACCAGGUUCAGGAAAAGUUAUUACCCCUCAACCAUCAGGCUCCUGAACCAGUGAGGAUAACCUCAACUCUGAACUGAUUCCAUCGGGAAGGAGGUACAGGAGCCUCAGGUCCCACACCACCAGGUUCAGGGACAGUUAUUACCCCUCAGCCAUCAGGUCCCACACCACCAGGUUCAGGAACAGUUUUUACCCCUCAGCCAUCAGGUCCCACACCACCAGGUUCAGGGACAGUUACUACCCCUCAACCAUCGGGACCCACACCACCAGGUUCAGGAACUAAUCACCCCUCAACCAUCAGGUCCCACACCACCAGGUUCAGGAACAGUUAUUAACCCUCAACCAUCAGGUCCCACACCACCAGGUUCAGGAACAGUUAUUACCCCUCAACCAUCAGGUAGAAGGUACAGGAGCCUCAGGACACACACCACCAGGUUCAGGGACAGUUAUUACCCCUCAACCAUCAGGUCCCACACCACCAGGUUCAGGAACAGUUACUACCCCUUAGCCAUCAGGUAGAAGGUACAGGAGCCUCAGGUCCCACACCACCAGGUUCAGGAACAGUUAUUACCCCUCAGCCAUCAGGUAGAAGGUACAGGAGCCUCAGGUCCCACACCACCAGGUUCAGGAGCAGUUAUUACCCCUCAGCCAUCAGGCUCCUGAACCAGUGAGGAUAACCUCAGCUCUGAACUGAUUCCAUCAGGAAGGAGGUACAGGAGCCUCAGGUCCCACACCACCAGGUUCAGGAAAAGUUAUUACCCCUCAACCAUCAGGCUCCUGAACCGGUGAGGAUAACCUCAACUCUGAACUGAUUCCAUCGGGAAGGAGGUACAGGAGCCUCAGGUCCCACACCACCAGGUUCAGGAAAAGUUAUUACCCCUCAACCAUCAGGCUCCUGAACCGGUGAGGAUAACCUCAACUCUGAACUGAUUCCAUUGGGAAGGAGGUACAGGAGCCUCAGGUCCCACACCACCAGGUUCAGGAACAGUUACUACCCCUCAACCAUCAGGUCCCACACCACCAGGUUCAGGGACAGUUAGCACCCCUCAACCAUCAGGUCCCACACCACCAGGUUCAGGGACAGUUAUCACCCCUCAACCAUCAGGUCCCACACCACCAGGUUCAGGGACAGUUAUCACCCCUCAACCAUCAGGUCCCACACCACCAGGUUCAGGGACAGUUAUCACCCCUCAACCAUCAGGUCCCACACCACCAUGUUCAGGGACAGUUAUCACCCCUCAACCAUCAGGUCCCACACCACCAGGUUCAGGAACAGUUAUCACCCCUCAACCAUCAGGUCCCACACCACCAUGUUCAGGGACAGUUAUCACCCCUCAACCAUCAGGCUCCUGAACCGGUGUGGGUAAUUUCUCAUCCCAACGGUGAACUGAUUCCACAGCCUACGGACUCACUUCCAAGGACUUCUUACAACUGGUGUCUGCGUGCGUCGUCGUCUUCUCCACGUUGUUGUGGGGCUUUCAUGUGUAGUUUUCUUUCACAAACUCCACACUAUCGUCCUGAGAAUGCCUGCAAGAAAAAAAAAUGAAGCCUCGGGGUUGUAGAUGGUGACACCUACUUAGUUUGAUGGUGAAUCUUGCUUUAAUAUUUUAAAUCCUGGAGUCGCUCUCGUGCUCCCUCACUCAGAGCCUCCUUGCACCUCUCUCCCUGGACUAGGUGGGAACUUCACGGUGAACAUGUUGGGGGGGGGGGGGG